rnacentral:rRNA from 1 species
GACGAACGCUGGCGGCGUGCUUAACACAUGCAAGUCGAACGCUGAACCCGCUUCGGUGGGGGAUGAGUGGCGAACGGGUGAGUAACACGUGGGCAACCUGCCCCCGGCUCUGGGAUAACUCCAAGAAAUUGGGGCUAAUACCGGAUGUGACCGCUGGCCGCAUGGUCUGGUGGUGGAAAGGGUUUCCGGCUGGGGAUGGGCCCGCGGCCUAUCAGCUUGUUGGUGGGGUAGUGGCCUACCAAGGCGACGACGGGUAGCCGGCCUGAGAGGGUGACCGGCCCACCGGGGGUGGAACACGGCCCAGGGCGCCGCGGGGAGGCGGCGGGGGGGAUUUUUGCGGAGGGGGCGGGGGCGGAAGGCGGGGCGCCCGGGGGGGGGAUGGGGGCCUCCGGUUUGAAACCCUGUUUCAGCGGGGAGGAAGGGAGGGGGCGGUUCCCGGAAAAAGAAACCCCGGCCACCUACGGC